rnacentral:ncRNA from 1 species
AUAUUUUAGUAAGAAUUGUUGUAUAGGUCAAUUAAUAUGGUAUUGACGUUUCUACAGGUUCACCUUAAAUGGACCUACUACAGCGCUAAAU